rnacentral:lncRNA from 1 species
AUAGCCUUUUCAGCAGGGUACCGCUAAAUGAUAUCAUGUACAAAUAUGCCGCUAUAGCCCGCUAUAGCUGAUUUAGAGGCUCGCUGCUAUUUGCCGUAGCCCGCUGUUUAAAACAUCACUGUCUACCAAGUUGCAUACAUAUCGUCAGUUCAUCAUAAUCUAGUGGAAAAGAUUAACUGGUACUGCUUCCAAAUAAUUUAACACUUGUGGGCUGGAACCUACGGACGUACGUCUCUCCCUGAUCUCAGAUGCGGCGGCUCGGUGGUACCCAAAUCAUCUUGUGAACUACAAUCCAUAGAAUUUGACUGUAAGUGUAGCAAAGCUUCGCUGCACCCCUAUAUUUUCCAUCCAACAAAAGUAGUCCCUCCUUUCUCAUUUAUAAGCCACACACACAUGUCAUGACGUGAGGAAUCCAAUAGUACACACAGUUUGCAUUUUGGACACUCGGAUUAAAUAACAAUGAUGCGAUGUUACUAUGUAC